GGAGAGUAGCCCAGUGGGAGAGUGUUUGCCUAGCAUGCACAAGACCCUGGGUUCAAUGCCCACCACCA
rnacentral:tRNA from 1 species